UUCUUAUUACCUUUGAAACUAACUCAAAACAAAGGUUACACAAUCUUUCUUAAUCUCAAAACAACACAUAGGGUUAGCCACAACCUUGGCACCUCUAUUUAUACUAUUCUACAAAUCCUAAUCACAAUAGGAUUAGGUUAGAUAACUCCUAACCAAACUCUAGAAUCUUCUUUAACAUAAACCGACUUGUUUAUGUCUUUCUUGGGCCUCAAGCCUUUAUGUUUUAUCAAGUUUGAU
rnacentral:lncRNA from 1 species